AUGUUAGAUCUCCAGGAGCAGGGUUGGAGAUCCGUGGUCUACUGAAUGUAAACAAUGCUGUUCUCAGGGUUUGAGCUUUGUGCUUCUGCUGUUACUAAGGUGAAAAAGUGGAGGCUCUGUUACUCUUAAUGGCGUAAAUCUGGGAUACACACAUCCAUGCUCCUCUCAGGGACUGAAGCUUGUAAAUCGGAUUUCCACUGUGUGACAUGUGACAUUGAUUUGUGAGUCAUUUUAGUUUAUAACUUAUGAUAAAUCAGAGGAUCGGAGCCUGCAUUGAUUGUAAGCUUUUAACGCCAUGCUGUUCUCUCUCUGGGAGGGAGAAGAAAGACAUUGUCAAAAUCCACUUUCAGACUCUCAAACUAUAAGUGUGUGUUUAUGUAAUCCCCUGCUAAAGCAUCUAUCCAUCUCUUCUACCGAUAGAGGAGUAGGUUGUGUUUUACAGCUUUUGUUCAUUACAGCAAAUAACCUUUUUGGCAUCCACCAAGGCUGUGCUAUGAAGCUUGAAACCAGAAAAUGAUGUACUAUACUUUUAAAUGAG
ensembl:lncRNA